UGACAAUUGAUAGACAGACAAACAUUUAGCCUUAAAUCAACCCAACAAUUUCAGUGGAAGGAAAAUGCAAACUGACAGAGCCAACGUUUGGCUGGAAUUCCUUUGGCUGCCCCCUCUGCUGGAGUUUGGCAUAUCAAAACAGAUACUCUGCUUGUUGGCCAAAUCAAAAUUAAUUAAAAGCGGACUUUGUACAAUGAAAUGCCAGAGGCCAAACUCAUCGUGGCUGAACAUACUGCACAAACUAUUGUAAGUAGCUGCUGCAGCCGCAUGCCCAGCGAAGGUGCCAUGUUCAUAAUUCAGGAGUCCGG